AUCGUGUACAGUCAUGCCGUCCUUGCGCGGCGUGAUUGUCGGUGAGUCAGGUUAAAUUCUUAAAUAGGUCGCGCCUGCGCCUAAUUGAGUCUAUAAAAGCCUGCACAUUCAGUUUUGCUAGCUACAAUGCAGUGCGGCUGGCGUGAGCUGUCUCCACGAUGCGCUUCGAGCGUGUCGAUUUCGCCGUUCUUUAUGUUGGCGUUAAGGACCUUGAAAGCAACAUGGAUCCACAAGAAAUGUGCGACAACAUCAAGGCCUUGAUUGUUCAACGAGACGGCCCCCGUCGUGCUGGUUUUCAAGGUGCUCCCUCGCUGCCUAGAAGAUGCUGAUGCGGAAUAGAAAAUGCAAAAACGUCGCUUGCUCAACCGCAAAUUGACGGCUACGCUGAAGCGCAUGCCGUGUCUGCGGAAUUUGAACCCCGAGCUUUCCAGAGUUCCUUGGAAAAUCCUCCCAUGCACCUGCCAUGUACAUUGCCCUCCUCCUCGAUGUGGCGUGCAAGAUGGCAGCAGCAGCUGUGGGAACAGUUGAAGAGGCGAAGAAAGGUCCACUUUAUAAUAGGUUGUAUGUAAAUAAAACUGAUCGACCUCAA
rnacentral:lncRNA from 1 species